rnacentral:rRNA from 1 species
UACGAAGGGUGCAAGCGUUACUCGGAAUUACUGGGCGUAAAGCGUGCGCAGGCGGUUCUAUAAGACAGAUGUGAAAUCCCCGGGCUCAACCCUGGGAACUGCAUUUGUGACUGUAGAGCUGGAGUACGGUAGAGAGGGAUGGAAUUCCGCGUGUAGCAGUGAAAUGCGUAGAUAUGCGGAGGAACACCGAUGGCGAAGGCAAUCCCCUGGACCUGUACUGACGCUCAUGCACGAAAGCGUGGGGAGCAAACAGG